GGGCGAUUGGCUCAGUGGGAGAGCGCCUCGUUCACACCGAGGAGGUCACUGGUUCGAAUCCAGUAUCGCCCACCA
rnacentral:tRNA from 2 species